rnacentral:rRNA from 1 species
AGACGAACGCUGGCGGCAUGCCUAAUACAUGCAAGUCGAACGAACACUUCGGUGUUAGUGGCGCACGGGUGCGUAACGCGUGGGAAUCUGCCCUUGGGUUCGGAAUAACAGUUGGAAACGACUGCUAAUACCGGAUGAUAUCGAAAGAUCAAAGAUUUAUCGCCCAGGGAUGAGCCCGCGUAGGAUUAGCUAGUUGGUGAGGUAAAGGCUCACCAAGGCGACGAUCCUUAGCUGGUCUGAGAGGAUGAUCAGCCACACUGGGACUGAGACACGGCCCAGACU